GAGGGUAUAGCUCAGUGGUAGAGCGCGUGCUCAGAGUGCAUGAGGUCCUGGGUGCAAUCCCCAGUACCUCA
rnacentral:tRNA from 1 species